rnacentral:sRNA from 1 species
UGCCUAAACCUGCGACUUCGUUCGUCAGGCAUGGCAUAAAAACCCAUCGAAGAUAUUAAGCUCGUCGUCAGAGCACUCUUCGAUGGGUCAUAUCGGGAAACCGGUAUGGGUGGUCGCAAGACCAUC